GAGGGUGUAGCUCAGCAGUAAAAGUGCAUGCCUAGCAUGCACAAGGUCCUGGAUUCAAACCCCAGUACCUCCG
rfam:Camelus ferus unplaced genomic scaffold scaffold951, whole genome shotgun sequence.